GUACCGGUUUGCUAUUCCAAAUUAUAAUUUAUUGUCUCUUUUGGUUUAAAAAUGUAUAUAGAUAAUAUCAGGAAAUCAAUUGUGGAAAAUGGAACGCAGGCGUGACCUAAGAAGCCAAAUGACAUUUUUUUAAAUUAGGUAUACACUACUCGGCAGCAGAUUAGCGCCCCCUGCAUGGCUCCUUUUCUUCUUAUGUUCAAUCCCAUACCCCGCUUAAGAAAUAUUUAAAAAUCAAGAGAUAAUGAUAUAUUCGAUGGAACGCAGGCGUGACCUAAGAAGCUAAAUGGCAUUUUUUUAAAUUAGGUAUACACUACGCGGCAGCAGAUUAGCGCUCCCUGCAUGGCUCCGUUUCUUCUUAUGUUCAAUCCCAUA
rnacentral:sRNA from 1 species